GCCCGAAUAGCACAGUCGGUAGAGCAGGGGAUUGAAAAUCCCCGUGUCCCUGGUUCGAUUCCGGGUUCGGGCACCA
rnacentral:tRNA from 1 species